GAUGAACGCUAGCGGCAGGCUUAAUACAUGCAAGUCGAGGGACAGCACAGGUAGCAAUACUGGGUGGUAACCGGCAAACGGGUGCGGAACACGUACACAACCUUCCUUUAAGUGGGGGAUAGCCCAGAGAAAUUUGGAUUAAUACCCCGUAAUAUAGUUGAAUGGCAUCAUUUGAUUAUUAUAGCUACGGCGCUUAAUGAUGGGUGUGCGGCUGAUUAGAUAGUUGGCGGGGUAACGGCCCACCAAGUCUACGAUCAGUAGCUGAUGUGAGAGCAGAAUCAGCCAAACGGGGACUGGGACACGGGCCCGACUCAUACGGGAGGCAGCAGUAAGGAAUAUUGGUCAAUGGGCGCAAGUCUGAACCAGCCAUGCCGCGUGAAGGAUUAAGGGCCUCUGGAUUGUAAACUUCUUUUAUUUGGGACGAAAAAGGGCCUUUCUAGGUCAACUGACGGUACCAGAUGAAUAAGCACCGGCUAACUCCGUGCCAGCAGCCGCGGUAACAC
rnacentral:rRNA from 1 species